UGUAUCAGAUCAUUAAGCUUUAAGCCUUUUGCCUUGAUUAAUUGAAUUAAUAAUCCAUGGGUCUUAUAGUAAUCUAAUCUAGACAUCUGGCAUAUCACUCUCCCUUAUUCGCAUUUUGUUUUUACUCAUUAAUAGUGCAAUAAAUACUAAUUCCAGUUGUUGUCAAUGGCUAUGAUGAUACUUCCACCAUUUGUCUGAAAUGGCUUUGAGUUGGUAUAUUGCUCAUUAGAUUUUGGUUAUAUUCCAAGAUU